rnacentral:lncRNA from 1 species
AUAAGUUAUACCAGCAAGAGCUGUAUCUCCAGUACGAGUUUGUCAGAAAAUCCUUCCCAGGGUAGGCAGAGCCAGCAAUAUUAAAAGGCAAUAAUAUAGCCCAGCUGUAGGAAGCCUGUUUUCAUGGGGAGAAAUAUUUUCCUGUGACAAGUCUCAAGCAGUUAAGCUCCAGAGAGCUUCACAGUACAGGCAGAAGCUUUGUACAUUCCUAUAUGAAUAUGUAUUUAAUUAUGGCUCCAGUGCUGAGCACAUUUACAUAAAUAAAGAGGAGAAAUAGAAAGCAGGAGAGGAGGGAGGGGAAAGGUCUGGUUUUCACCUGUCUCCCCUGAUAGCAGCCCUGACUCCUCACCAUUCUAGGGAGGACAUGGAGCCAUGCUUGGACAUUACAGCCUGCCCAUCUGCUGCCAGCAGGUGGGAUCAGCCUCCUCAGCCCCAUGGGCCUUGCUUAGGGAUUAUUAGACAUGGAACCAUGGUCAGACAAUCACAAACCAGUAUGACAGAGAGAUGUUGAAGAGCAGCAGAAGAAGAGGCUGGUUGCUGGGAGAUUUUAUGAAGCCAUCUGCAGAGCCAUGGACGUUGAGAAGGAGAAAAAAGAGCCACAGAAAACCCUUAUUUUCCAAGCAUUUACAUCGGGGGAAGCAGCCUUCAGGCCAUCAGAGCUUUCUUCUGACUGGCUCUGGGCACAGAGGAGAACUACCAGCAAGAAGAAUGGUGUUAACUCAGGGAUUGCCUGAGACAUCCCUCCAAGUCCAUGAGACUCAACAUUGUACCCAAGAGUGCCACAAGAGUUGGCCCAUGUCCUUGCACCAUCACUCUCUAAUAUUUUCCAGAGACUGUGGAGGUCCAGGGAUUUCCCUGACAGCUAAAGACAAACAUGAGGAUCCCCCAUACCUACAGAAAGGGAGUUGGGGACUUCACUGCUCUGUGUUGCAGGAAAACUUGACACACCAUGCAUAAACUGAAACAAGAGAGAUCAGAUUAGAUGCAAGGAGGGGAAAAUAUCCAUAAGGACAGUCCAGCAGUGGAGCAGGCAGCCCAGGAGGCUCUGCAGGCUCCAUCCUGGGAGGUUUCAAACCCCAACCAGACACAGCCCUGAGCAGCCUGGUCUGGUCUGGUCUGGUCUGGGGGUGACCCUGCUCAGAGCCUCUCAGGUCAUGCCCAGCCUGAAUUGUGCUAUGUUCCCAUGCUGAGUUGCAUUGGAUAGCAAUGGUAGGAAAUUAAAAACACAGAAAUAUAAUCCUGCUGUUGACACAAAUAACCCCAAAUCUCCAGACUGCUAUCAUACUCUGUCUGCUCUGACUUAUGCAGGAAUCCAGACUAACUCUGAUCUAUCCUAAAUACUCUUCUGCCAGUCUGAAUGCUUGGGGCUGCUACUACUGAGAAAAUAGACAGAUGUGUACAAAGCAAGUGCAAAGGCUGGAUUUUUCUAUGGGGAACCAGUCACCAUCACCUCCACUCCUUUUCCAGCUCUCUUUCUCUCCUCUCCCUCUCUCAUUGGUCCUGCAGUAAAUACCCAAACCUGAAAACAAACUCCAGGACUCAUCUUAGAGGCUCCGUGUCCCACAUCUCUCUGUUUCCUCCACUCCUAAACCAGGAGGGACAUCUGCCAGAGUCUCCAGGGGGGUAACAUCAGUGCCCUCCAGCAACUGCAAGUUGAGCAGCCUAAUGACAUUAAAACUCCUUUCACCCUCCUUCCUAGCUGGGGCUAAGCACAGCUCAGUGAGCCAUCAGGAGCAGCAACCUCAUCAUGAGCAGAGAGGUGGCCAGAGAGAUGAUUUUGAGGGAAGGCUACAGUAACCUCAAGCUCAGAAAAGAUGCUUGAACUCCCCUUUUAAGUGGUCAUGGAAGCUAUUUUCAUCUUCAGCUGCUGCAGAUUUGUUCCUGGGAUGGUGGCUGCACCGAGUGGCUGACACAGACCUGAGAAUCAAUCAAAAGUAAUUGAAACAGAAGAGGCUCAGCAAUCAACCUAUUAGGUUGCUGGAGCCAGAAAAAUGCUGCUAUGAGGAGCCAGAGUAAGGGGAACAGACUUCCCUUCUGAAAACUUAAUGUGAGGAAGGAGCUUCGGCUGCGCUGUCUUUUCUUACAAGCAGAAUAAAAAUCUGUGGAAUUCUCUUUCUGUGGAGUUU